rnacentral:lncRNA from 1 species
UGGGGUACCGGAUGAUUCCUGUGUGCAUGAGAACUUCACUAGAAUGUCAUUAAACAGCCCAACUACCUCAAGUGAAAUUGGCUGUGGACAAUCUGUGUUUGAUGAGAAAUGUGUUUGGAGAAACUUAUUCUGGUUAAUAAGUUGAAUAGUGCAGUGUCUCUAUGAAGAAGAAACAUGUUAUACCAGAUGCCAAAGGCUAAACUAUACAUAAAUUCUCUCAGAUCCAUUUCUAUGUUAAUGUUUAAUUCCUCAGUCUGUAUCCUCAUGAACAUUUGUAGCUUUGUAGAGCCAUGUGCUUUGGGUAUCUGUCACAGAAUCACCUCUUGUCCCUCAGUAUUUUGAAUGAACAUCAUAAUGCUGAUAGGAACUAAGUUAAACUACGAAAGUGUCAAACAACUUGUGGCUUCUUAAUUUAAUGGACCUUUACUUAGAAAUGUAUUGGAGCCUUUUAGGACCAAUUGUUGAGUGAAAAUCUUGUGUGCAAACGUGUCUGCUUUUCUGUCCAAGUUGUUAUUCCUGUAUUUCAUGAACAGUGGGGCAGGGGUAAGGGUUUUACUUUCUUUGGAGAAUGUUUGAAAACAUCUGUCAGAUUUUUAUAUUCAUUAGUUACAAUAAACAUAUUUUUAGAGUAUUUUAUUAAAUGUUCUUC